UUUUAUUUGGAUUUGGUCUUAUUACCUUGUGUUAUUGUAUAUAUAUAUAUAUAUGAAAAAAUAGUACAAAUGUAACAUUGUACUGGGAUAAGGUGCAUAAAUUAAGAAAAAGGCAUCUCCUUAUGGUGCAACUGAAAGUUGCUGAUGGCUGGCGCCAUCUAUCGGAAUAAAUAUCAACUAUUCUCGUUGAUUUUUAAUUAUUCCAGAAAGAUGGCGCCAGCCAUCAGCAACUUUCAGUUGCACGAUAAGGAGAUGCCUUUUUCUUAAUAUAUAUAUAUAUAUAUUUUUUGCUUAUCCCUAGUACACGUGGUACAGGCCAUGAUAAUCAUGGUGGGUAGUUAUAGCGACUGCUUUUACUGUAAGCGCACCACAUGUCUACACAUGUGAAAAGCAGUUCGACUUUGCACUUACAAAUGUGCCAGAGCCCCGUUUGGUUACUUGCACUCUCUGGUGGGGUUGGACUUUUGCAAAAAUCGGGGGCCAUUGGAGCAUAUUUUUUUUUAACAGAAAAAAGUGUCCAAUGCGGGAAUUGAACCCGGGUCGUAGCGGUCGAAAACCAAACGGUUUAACCAGCCUUCCACCGACCCCCCUGUUAUUGUAUUAAAAUCUAUAAUCCAAAUUGUGCUUUAUCAUAAAUUAAAGAUUUAUUUAUGGAUUGCUCUAUUUUCAAAAACAUUUCCUUAUGUUGAUGAAGUUUUGUCCCCAUGAGUGUCAUAUCAGUAAGUGUGGAUGUACUCACAUCACGGCGAGGCCAGCUGGACAACACCUUGUAUUCCUCUGGAGGGUAUCCCAAGGAUGCCAGGAAGGUUAGCAGCAUCUUGAGAGGAUCAGCUGCCAGGAACCUACGGGUGAUGGUCUGUCCAUUGGGGAGCCGGAUGCGCACUUGGCUCAGUUUGCGGCUGUCAUCUGCUGGGGGUUCAGGCCCCACCUGCAUCUCCAGGCUCUGUCUGAUAGCUUCUUUCACUGCGUCUUCCAUCCGGAGUUUCUCUAGGGCCUUCUGUUCUUGUUCUUCUUUCUUCUGUCGUGCUUCUUCCUGUAUCAUAACACUUGUUUUAUUUUUUCUGGCUCAAGGUAAUAAGACCAAAUAAAUAAAUAGUGUGUGAUGUUUCGGUAAAAAUGCUGUUACCGGUCGUCUCUCCAAACAAAACUAGACACCAUCUCUACAAACUAGUGGACUCAGGUCAGUAACAAAGCUACAACACCAACUUUGGUAAAUUGCAUCCACCUAGAGAUCCACAUGGGAUCAAACAAAAUCUUCACAAUCUACCAAAGAGGUGUUUAGCUGGCAAAGUAGCUAGGCCAAAUCUAUGUCCAAAAUAUAGAUGGAAAUUUGGUCGGGAGGAAAUUGAACUGUAAUAUUUGAGAUGAGACCUUUUAUUUUAAUAGAUCAAUUUUUUCCCAGAUAAAUUCUCAACUAAAUGGAAUCUAACCAAGUUUACAAGUGAAGUUUUACUGGGGUGAUGAUCAUAAUGUAUUGAUCUGAUGUAUAAUUGAAGGGAGAGGUACCACUUUUGGUACAAGAAUACCAUGUAACUCCAUGUUGUAUUCUAAGUCUGUAAAUCUGUCCUUGUCAUUUCACCAGUUUAAACAGCUGUUUGGUAAAUUGGACCUCCUCUCAUAGUAUGUUGUGUCCCUGUACUGAUGAGGGCCAUAGUUUGAUGCCAUGGUAUACAGGUUGUUGGAUUUUUGUCUGUAUUUGUCUAAACUGGUGUUGUGGCUUAUUCUUUAUUAUUGCUAGUAAAGUUUUUUACUAGGGAGAUAAACAUAAUGUUAUCUUUCUGUUGUUGUUGUUUCUUAUCCCCUUGUGUAAAGAUUACACAAAUUCCAUGAAUUCAUGCUCCUCGAACUGUGAUCUUAUGGAAUGGGUUUUUAGGGGUGAAGCUUUCAUUGAUAUUGGCACCAUGAUCCAGGAAAACCUUUAUUGUUCUGAUGUUCAUAAUUAGAGGUAGAGAUGGCUUUCUAGCAGUGUUGGGCAUUAAAAAAUUAUUUUUCAAUUAAAUUGAAGUACAAUUAACAAUUAAUUAAUUGUUAAUUAGAAAAGUGCAAUUAACAAUUAAUUAAUUGUUAAUUGUAUGAAUACAAUUAAUAAUUAAUUAAUUGUUAAUUGUAAAAAUACAAUUAACAAUUGAUUAAUUGUUAAUUGUGAAAAUUACAAUUAACAAUUAAUCAAUUGUUAAUCUUUAAUAAAUCAUUUUAAUUAAUAUUUGCCCAACACUGCCUGAGAUAAAAAGUGUUUUUAUUAAAUACAACACACCUUUACCAUCGUCAGCUGCAGUUGAACGCCUUUUUUCUUUUGCGACAAUGACAAAUCUGCCAAAGAGUCACAAAUUGUUGGACAGCAUGUUCGAGAAAAGAGUGGUACUGAAAUGCAGUGUUGGGCAUUAAAAAAUUAUUUUUCAAUUAAAUUGAAGUGCAAUUAACAAUUAAUUAAUUGUUAAUUAGAAAAGUGCAAUUAACAAUUAAUUAAUUGUUAAUUGUAUGAAUACAAUUAACAAUUAAUUAAUUGUUAAUUGUAAAAAUACAAUUAACAAUUGAUUAAUUGUUAAUUGUGAAAAUUACAAUUAACAAUUAAUCAAUUGUUAAUCUUUAAUAAAUCAUUUUAAUUAAUAUUUGCCCAACACUGCUUUCUAGGUACAUGAAUAAUUUAAUUUUUUUUUCUUUUGUUUAUCCCUAGUAGAAAACUAACUUUGUCCUUCAUUUCUGGCACUAAUUAAUGAAAUAUCAAAGAAAAGGUAUAUAGCGAUAUUCCACAGGAUUAUAUCCCGGAACACAGUGUUCUCCCUUGUGAACUGGCGAAUCAGGAGGAUGUUACUCCCCUGACGGAGUCCAGACUACCCUUGGCAGGGGAACCUCCUGAUGUGAAUUUUUUAAAUUGUAAAUUUUUAACUGCCUAACUCUCCGGAGUGUAACAAUUGACUGAGUUGUCAAUAAAUGUGUUUUUAAUUGUCAAAAAUUGUCACUCGCUGGUUGGGUUGAACUUUUGCAAGAAUUGGGGGGCAAUUGUGGAGCUUUUUUUUUUUUUAAUUAGAAAAAAAGUGUCCAAUGCGGGAAUCGAACCCGGGUCGUAGCAGUUGAAAACCAACGGUUUAGACCAUCCUUCCAUAGACCACCUUUGAAUAAUGUAAUGUGUACAAACAUAGAGAGAGAGAAGGGAAGUUCUACCUUUGCUCUGUCGGCUUUGAGGGACUCCUCGUACGCUGCGUCCUGUUCCCUUUUGACUCUGUCCCUGGCCAGUCUUUCUUCUUCCUCUCUCAUCUCAGUUGCCACCUCGGCUCCAAACAUGUCUGUAGCGUGGAUCAGCCGGGUCAUUAGUUCAUCCAGAGCUACCAGCCCGGGGACAAUGGCCGCCACCUCCAGCGAGGACCUCAGCCGUGUGACUACCAGCAGUACGGGCAACUGUUCUACCUCCAUGGUACGGAUAGUUGCCGCAGCUGUUGAUCCCAGGUGUUGAGUGGCAGUGGACAGAAACCUGACAGCAGAGAGAUUAGUAUGUAAAUAUGUCAACAAACAACUUCUAGGAAAUUAAAGCAUUAUAGCAUGAAUAUUUCAAAACUUCCACUUACUUCUUUAUCUGAUGAUGGUAAAAAUGCUUUUACCGAAACGUCACACACUUUUUAUUUAUUUGGAUUUAGUAUCUUAUUACCUUGUGUUAAUAGAAAACACAAGUUUUCCUUGAUAAGGAAGACCAAAUCCAAAUAAAUAAAUAGUGUGUGACAUUUCGGUAACAGCAAUGUUACCAUUUUCAGACAAAAGUACUGAGAAAAAAUUCUCAUUCAGUACUUUUGUCUGAAUAUGGUAACAAUGCUGUUACCGAAACAUCACACAUUAUUUUUUUGGAUAUGGUCUUAUUACCUUGUGUUUAUAUUUCAACAACUUCUUUUUAUUGGAACUAAAAGCAUUAUAUAUAACACAAAUGUUUCUUUAAAACAUAAGUCUCAUGCUCUACCAACAAAGGUAAUAGCCUACAGCACCCGGUGUUCCCAGGUGGUCACCCUCCCAAGUACUGACAAGGCCUGAUAUUGCGUCGACCUGGAGCGUAGUUUAAUGAAUCAUUCCAACUUGCGAAGCGUUCGAACCUGUACUAGUCGAUUUUUUUUUGUACUCCCACGUGGUCUAGUGGCUAGGAUAUCUAGCUUUCACCCAGAAGGCCCGGGUUCGAUUCCCAGGAGUGGGAAUUUUUUAUGGGACUCGAAAAUCAUACACUUUGAUUAGUAGCCUGUCAAACCAUAUUCUCUCUGUCUUUUUUUGCUUAUCCCUAGUAGACGUGGUACAGGCCAUGAUAAUCUUGGUGGGUUAGGCGACUGCUUUUACUGUAAGUGCACCACAUGUCUACAUAUGGUACAGGCCAUGAUAAUCCUGGUGGGUAGUUAGUGACUGUCUUUUACUGUAAGUACACCACAUGUCUACAUAUGGUACAGACCAUGAUAAUCCUGGUGGGUAGUUAGCGACUGUCUUUUACUGUAAGUACACCACAUGUCUACAUAUGGUACAGACCAUGAUAAUCCUGGUGGGUAGUUAGCGACUGUCUUUUACUGUAAGUACACCACAUGUCUACAUAUGGUACAGGCCAUGAUAAUCCUGGUGGGUAGUUAGCGACUGUCUUUUACUGUAAGUACACCACAUGUCUACAUAUGGUACAGACCAUGAUAAUCCUGGUGGGUAGUUAGCGACUGUCUUUUACUGUAAGUACACCACAUGUCUACAUAUGGUACAGACCAUGAUAAUCCUGGUGGGUAGUUAGCGACUGUCUUUUACUGUAAGUACACCACAUGUCUACAUAUGGUACAGACCAUGAUAAUCCUGGUGGGUAGUUAGCGACUGUCUUUUACUGUAAGUACACCACAUGUCUACAUAUGGUACAGGCCAUGAUAAUCCUGGUGGGUAGUUAGCGACUGUAUUUUACUGUAAGUACACCACCUGUCUACAUAUGGUACAGGCCAUGAUAAUCCUGGUGGGUAGUUAGCGACUGUAUUUUACUGUAAGUGCACCACAUGUCUACAUAUGUGAAAAGCAGUUUGACUUUGCACUUACAAAUGUGCCAUAGCGCCAUUUGGUUACUUGGACAUGCUGGUGGGAUUGGACUUUUGUAAGAAUCAGGGUCCAUUGGAGCAUUUUUUUUUUUAACAUAAAAAGUGCCCAAUGCAGGAAUCAAACCCGGAUUGUAGCAGUCGAAAACCAAACGGUUUAGACCAUCAUUCCACCGACCCCCCCUUAAGCAAAACUUUUACUAUAGAAGCAGAAACAUUGUACAAGCCUUCGGGGUACACAAUCAUGAGAUGUCCUAUCUACUCAAUAAAUCAAGAAGUGGAUGAGACCAACCUGCUCAUGCCCAGAUCAGAGGUGAGGUCCCAGCCGAAGGUGACAAAGUUGGUUGUGAGGUAGGACACUACGGUCUCUGCACAGAGCAGCUGACUACAGAAGACGUUGGCUUGAACGCUGCCGUCGUGGUGGAGGUACACUGCCAGGGGUCGCCUCUGUCACACACAAAGACAUAUUGUUGUUGUUUCUUAUCCCCUUGUGUAACGAUUACACCAAUUCCAUGAGUCCAUGCUGCUCCAGCUGUUUAUAGACAGUAUUGUUGUUGUUGUUUCUUAUCCCCUUGUGUAAAGAUUACACCAAUUCCAUUCCAGAAACAUGUACUGUAGGUAUUGACCUGUCUCACAGACAUUUGGUUAGCAAGGUUUUGCAGUAUCUCUCUCAUACCGAAAACACACUACAAACUCUUCUUCUUUCUAAUCUCCACUCAAUCAUAUUAGGUUAUCAAGUUGUGACCCUUGAUGGUGUCUGUUUGACAAACAUCAUGGCUGGGUGAAGUAGAAUGCUUCUGCCUUUGUCAUUAAGACUGGAAACCCCCUUUGCCGGUCCCAAGCCCGGAUGAAAAAGGAGGAAGGGGAGCACUAACAAGCUCACUAAAAAACCUGGGCUCAGCUGGCAUUCUGAUAGUACCCUGUAAGGACUCCAGGAAUACAGGAUGAGCAGCAUUUGUACUCCAUGUUUGGAGCAGCUGUACAUGGCAUCUGUUCCUCAUGUCAGAGGCAGCCAUUUCUUUUGGAGCUAAGUCGGCGUGUCACUGAGUAAUGCUCCCAGUCUUAAUGAGAAAGGCAGACACAUUCUACUUCAUCCAGUCAUGAUCUCAAGCUUUACAAGCUUGAUACCUUAGUAUGAUUGAGUGGAUAUAAGAAAGAGGAAGACAAUUUAAUUAUAUAUUAUUUCCACCUUUGUAACAAUUGAAUAUAGAGGAAUCAAAAUUAUUGUUUAAAUUGUCAAAAUUAUCUAGCCUGACAAAUGAUAAAAUAGGUUGAAGAAGACCAAGAGAUAUUACCAAACUCUCCCAGGUUGGGAGAAAGUCCACAGAGAGAAGGGAAUUGAAGUAAAGAUUCUCCCAACAUCCAAAGCUGUGACAAGGAAACUCACCUCUUUAGCAGGCUUGAGGCAGGAGUUCUGUAGGGCCUCCAGAAAUGUUCCUUGGAAGAAAUCUGGAUGGCAUGGUCCGUAUCUGUGGUGGUGGACACAGGUCAAUUCCUCUGUUGAGUGGAGAGUUACACAAGGUAUCAACACAUCCAACCCAAAUAUAUAGUGUUACUAUAUAUGUAGAGUAGAAUACAGUUAAACCUCUCUAUAGCACCCAGCUGAUAAAAUCCAUUUAAAAAUAAAUAGAUUUUCAAUAUCCUAAAGAGUAAAGUUACGAUGGACUGAUAUCAGCUAGGAAGACAAGAGAGUUUCUAAAAAGGACUCUGUAUCAAGUGAUCUUCUAGAGGAAGUGGGAAAAACCACAGAAAUUCUUUCAAAGUGUAAGAGAAAGUGGUGGAAAAAAGUGCUCAGGUUCAAACCUUUUUUCAAACUGUUCGAUGAAGUGCAUCACGGCUUCCUUCUCAUCUGUGAAGUCUGGGGGAACUGGACACAACACACACAGAAUACACUUACAACUACUGGAAAUCACCACAAAGCUGUCAGCAUCAAAAAAUACUAAAGGGGGUCGGUGGAAGGAUGGUCUGAAAUGUUAGUUUUCGACCGCUACAACCUGGGUUUGAUUCCCGCAUUGGACACUUUUUUUUUUGAUUAAGAAAAAAUGCUCCAAUGGCCCCCGAUUCUUGCAAAAGUCCAACCUCACCAGCAAGUGCAAGUAAUCAAACGGGGCUCUGGCACAUUUGUAAGUGCAAAGUCGAACUGCUUUCACAUGUGUAGACAUGUAGUGUACUUACAGUAAAAAGCAGUCGCUAACUACCCACCAUGAUUAUCAUGGCCUGUACAACAUGUACUAGGGAUAAGCAAAAAAAAAAGAUUUAUAACAUCUCAAGCCAUUGAAGUAGUUAGUGACUGACAGUAAGUACACCACAUGUCUACAAACAGUAGAAAGCAGUUCUACUUUUGCUCUAACAAGUGUGCCAAAGAGCUCCGUUUGAUCACUUGAACUUACUGAUGACCUUUUACAAGAACGGGGGCCAUUGAGCAUUUUUGUCAGGAUUCCAUCCCGGGUCAUAGCGGUGGAAAACCAAAUGUUUAGACCACUUUUCUAUCGACGCAGAAUCAGGGUAGAGGCAAGCAGUACUCACCGAGGGGCUGGGGCCGGGUUGAGGUGCCGCGAAGUCUGGGUGGAAGGGAGAACAUUCCGUCUUCACCCCCCACAUAGCCUUCUGUGGCAUCUUCAAAUUCAUCUGCUUCUUCACUCUCAUCAGAGGAGAUGUCGUUCAUUGUC
rnacentral:tRNA from 1 species